GAGGGUAUGGCUCAGUGGUAGAGUGCAUGCUCAGCAUGCUUGAGAUCCUGGGUUCAAUCCCCAGUACCUCCA
rnacentral:tRNA from 1 species